GCGGCCGCCGAGGAACAUCAGUAAUAACAAGGCGGGCGCAGAGCGAGGGAAGGCGGCUGCGAGGAGAGAGGCAUUUCCCCUGCUGCAAGGGACGCGGACACCACGGCCCUGGGAAUUAGAGCUCUCGCCGCUGCAAUCCUUUCCGCCGGGAUGGGACGCUAGGACCAUUUUACUGCUACUUCUCGCUCUUUUAAAUUUUUCCUCACCCCCCUUUUUUUUUUUUUAUUUUUAAAUUUUUUUUUUUCCCCCUCGCCUUUUUGCAUCAUUUCUUUGGCCAAAAAAAAAAAAAAAAUCCCCCCCAACAUGGAGGCCCUUUGAUGCCGGUUCCUCCCGCGGCUCUGGGAAGCCCUCCGGGCUGUGCCCCCGUUUUCCGAGGGCCGCCCCCGGCGCUGAGGGAGGCUCCCCGCGGCCCGGCCCGCUCGGGUCCCGCGGCGCUGAGCCGGGAGCCUGCGCCCCGCCGGGCGGGAUGCGGUUGCGGGGGGCCGCUGCCGGGAGCCCCGCUGCCGCCUGACGGGGGGCUCUUCCUUCCGACGACGGGAACCUGCAUGUCAGCCCCGCGGCGGCCGCCCGCGACCGAGGCGGCGCGGGACAUGCCCAGGGCGGCGUGAGGGGCGCAGCCGGCUCCUCGGAGCAACCUUCGAUUAUAUAGAUUUUUAAAUUAUUUAUUUCGGCCCCAAAGCACACCCUAGGCACACCCCCGGCGCGGCGCCGAACGGGACCGCGAGGAGUAGGCGCUGCUUGGCGGGAGCGCGGAAGAGGAGGUGGGGAGCGGCCCCCCCGGCCCGUACCCGGGUUAAUCGGUAACGCUGUGCAAACCCCGGUGGAAAAUGCGCCGUGCUCCAGACUAGGAGGGAGGCGAUGGUGCAGUGCCCCCGGCCGCUCUGAGCGACCGGCCGAGAAGACGCUGGGGUGUGUGUGCGUGUCUGGGGCUUGGGGGCUUCCUAUUAUUUUUGCUUCCCUCCUCCCUCCCCCUCCUUUUUUUUUUUUUCCUUUUUUAUUAUUUUUAUUUUUAUUGCUUCUCCCCAGAAGGAAGGAAAACCCUACCAAGAUUCUCAGAUGGCUUAGAAAAAUUAAUAAUAAUCUGUGAAAAUAUGAAGUCGACCGGUUCUUGAUUUUCCCCCCUUCCCUCCCCUCCAGCUCCCCAGCCCACUGCUGAGAUUGAGAUAAAAGGACCCAUCUCCUGGAGGACGAGGAGAACAGACACGUUUCUGGUGGUGUAGAAGGGACUGAUGGCAAUGCUUCAGAGUGUAGCGGAAACGCAGGAAAGAGAUUCAACCUGUUAACAAAUUAAGCAGGGGGAAACUACCAACGGGAAGGAAAGAUAUAUAUAUAUAUAUACACACGUAUAUAUAUACAAUUUAGAAGUAUUCCCCAGGUGGCCACAAAGCAUGGGCUGUGCUCCAAGCAUCCACAUCUCUGACAGCAGAGUGGUCUAUCACAGUAGCAAAGAGUCUGAGGAGUGCAAUUCCCCUCACCAGACCAACACAACCAUGUCUCAACAGCAGCAAGGCAACCCCGUCCCAGGAUUAUUCAUUAAAUCCUCCAACACUUAUAAGGUGAGGACUAAUUCCUCUAAGAAAGACAAGAGGGAGAACAGCCAGAGCAUGGAGGCAGAGACCCAGACCAGCAGAUCCAGUGUUAAGGCACCAGUAACAGAUGUGCAGUUUGGCCCUAUGAGACUUCACCAAGAUCAACUUCAGGUACUUUUAGUUUUUGCCAAAGAAGAUAACCAGAGUAAUGGGUUCUGUUGGGCGUGUGAGAAAGCUGGAUUUCGAUGUAAUAUUGCCAGGACACCUGAGUCUGCACUAGAAUGUUUUCUUGAUAAACACCAUGACAUUAUCAUUAUUGACCAUAGACAUUCCAGAUACUUUGAUGCAGAAGCAUUAUGCAGGUCUAUCAGAACAACGAAACCCUCAGAAAAUACAGUCAUUAUUGGUGUAGUACGAAGGCAUGCUGACCGUGAAGAGUCAUCAAUAUUGCCCCUGAUCUCUGCUGGCUUCACAAGGAGAUAUGUAGAAAAUUCUAACAUAAUGGCCUGUUACAAUGAGUUGAUUCAGCUGGAAUUCGGAGAGGUGCGGGCACAAUUCAAACUAAGGGCAUGUAAUUCAUUAUUUACAGCAUUAGAGAAAAGUCAAGAAGCCAUUGAAAUCACAAGUGAAGACCAUGUAAUACAGUAUGUCAAUCCUGCUUUUGAAACUGUGAUGGGCUACCAAAUAGGUGAACUAAUAGGAAAGGAAUUAACAGAAGUGCCUAUAAAUGAAAAAAAAGCUGAUUUCCUAGAUACUAUUAAUUCCUGCAUAAAGAUAGGAAAGGAAUGGCAAGGCAUGUACUAUGCGAAAAAGAAAAAUGGAGACAGCAUACAACAAAAUGUGAAGAUACUACCUGUCGUUGGACAGGGAGGAAAGAUUAGACACUAUGUGUCAAUUAGUAGACUGUGCAAUGACAACAAUAAGGCAGAGAAGACAUGUGAACGUGUUCAGGCUGAAUCUCAGACAGAUAUUCAGACUUGCAGACACAAAGACAGACGGAAAGGAUCACUAGAUGUCAGAUCCACAACAUCACGAGGGAGUGAUGGCAGCUCACAACGGCGACACUCAUCUAUGGCCAGGAUACAUUCCAUGACUAUUGAAGCACCCAUCACCAAGGUAAUAAACAUCAUAAAUGCUGCCCAAGAAAGCAGUCCCAUGCCAGUUGCAGAAGCUUUAGACCGGGUUUUGGAGAUUUUAAGAACAACUGAAUUGUACUCUCCACAACUGGGGACAAAAGAUGAGGAUCCACAUACAAGUGACCUCGUUGGAGGGUUAAUGACAGAUGGUUUACGAAGAUUGUCAGGGAAUGAAUACAUCUUGUCAGCAAAACAAACUCAUCAGGUUUCUGGCAGUUUGAUCUCUCCAAUCUCCCUCAAUGACAUACCCCCACGGAUAACACAGGCAAUGGAAAAUGAAGAACACUGGGAUUUCGAUAUCUUUGAACUUGAGGCUGCCACCCAUAAAAGGCCUUUGGUUUAUCUGGGUCUCAAAAUAUUUGCUCGCUUUGGAAUCUGUGAAUUCCUAAACUGUUCAGAAUUGACUCUGAGGUCAUGGUUACAAGUCAUUGAAGCUAACUACCAUUCCUCCAACUCCUACCAUAAUUCUACUCAUUCAGCAGAUGUACUACAUGCCACUGCUUAUUUCUUGUGUAAAGAAAGAGUAAAGCAAACUUUGGAUCCGAUUGAUGAGGUUGCUGCACUCAUUGCUGCCACAGUCCAUGACGUGGAUCACCCAGGAAGAACAAAUUCAUUCCUGUGCAAUGCUGGCAGUGAGCUAGCAAUUCUCUACAAUGACACAGCAGUGCUGGAGAGCCAUCAUGCUGCCUUGGCUUUCCAGCUCACCACCCGGGAUGACAAAUGCAAUAUAUUUAAAAACAUGGAGAGGAAUGAGUAUCGAACCCUUCGCCAAGCCAUUAUUGACAUGGUCUUAGCAACAGAAAUGACAAAGCACUUUGAGCAUGUCAACAAGUUUGUCAACAGCAUUAAUAAACCCUUGGCAGCACUAGAAGAAAAUGGGAAUAAUGGUGAUGGAGAUUCAAUCAAAACUGUUCUCACAUCUCCUGAAAAUCGUAUCCUUAUCAAGCGCAUGUUGAUAAAGUGUGCUGACAUUUCCAAUCCAUGCAGACCCAUAGAGCAGUGCAUAGAGUGGGCUGGACGCAUCUCUGAGGAGUACUUUGCACAGACUGAUGAAGAAAAGAGACAAGGUUUACCUGUUGUGAUGCCAGUUUUUGACAGAAAUACUUGCAGCAUCCCCAAAUCCCAAAUAUCAUUCAUCGAUUACUUCAUCACUGAUAUGUUUGAUGCCUGGGAUGCAUUUGCAGACCUGCCAAAUUUGAUGCAGCAUCUGGAUAACAACUUUAAAUACUGGAAAGGACUAGAUGAAAGAAAGCUGCGGAGCCUUCGACCACCACCAGAAUAGCAAUUAGAGCAUGUCUCUUCACAGCUACAAGUCACUUAUUUGACUGAAGGACUAGCAGAGUAUCCCAUCAGCCUUCCUGGCAGGCAGAAACGGACUCCAAAAGCACUGAAAGAAUUGCUGACUGUUGUCAGUGCAGAGGAAAUUGGCUUUAGAGACUUUUUGAACAAUUCCUGAAGAAGCACAAAUAGAGAAGUUCAGGGACUGCAGCAGUAGGAGCCUUAAAACAGGUAAGAAAGGAACAGGUGACCUGUUGUUACCUGUUUCUGUGUUCCUCCUUCAUCUCCAAGCUGAUGAGACUCCUGGGCCACCACCACUUGUAGCUCACUACUGUUCUGCGUUUGUGUCAUGCCUUUUGCCAGUGCUGUCCUUAUCUUGCUUGUGUGCUUUCUCUUCCUACAUAGUAUGUGGGUUAUAUGCUGUCAGGGCAGGGAGUUCCUGUCCCAGUUCCCUUUAGUUGAUCAAUGAGUGUACAUUGCCUAACCCCAUGGGGCUCAGAUCCUGCCCAGGAGUGCCCAGACCAUACCACUGUCUCAGUGACAAUGGCAGGACAGAGGGCAUGGGGUCCUUGUUGAUCUUCCAGGCGUUCUACAGUUGAAGCUGAAGGAGCAGAUAUAUUUUCCAUUGAAAGCUGAAGAAGUCAAGUAUCCUAUUUUCAAAAGGAAUGUACAAGGAGAGGGAGAAUGGGCUGCCAGGCAUGUUUUCCUGGCAACGUUAGGCUGUGUUUCUGCAUCCAUGCACUGAUUGUAAUCAGCUGUUAAUUUGCCACCUGGCAUUAAUCUCUUCUAUUGCAUGCAGGCUCCUGUGCCUAGUUCAAGGAAAACCUGCUCUGGCUCCAUCAGAGGGAAGCUGCAUCACACCAUCAGUAUCUCCUCCGUUUACCUGCUGCAAAAAGGGUAGGAGAGGAAAAGUACCAGCAUAUGGGUCCAAAGAACGUCUGCAGGAAGGGGAUAAAACUAUUUUAGUAAUAGUAACUAUAGUUAAUAUUCUGGGUUGUAUUAAUGAAUGGUAAAACUAGUUAAUCUGCUCUAAAAAUGCCUGGUGCAUCAUCACUGAGAAGAUGUGAUCAAUAUGAUUAAUGCCCUGAAAUUAUUAUCCCUGCAUCUUUAAUGCCAUUACUUGAAGUGUAGAGCUGUGCUUGCUAAUCAACCCUCUGUAUCAGCCAGAUUUAUGUCCAUAUUGGUGUACAAUAAUUUCAGUUAACAUAAAACACUGAUUUGGAGCCACGGAAUGCAGCUCUGUUCAUUUCAUUGUCCAUCUCAAUGUCGCUGUUGCCAGGGACAGAUUAUAAUUAAAUCCUGGAGCUGCCAUUCCCGAUACUCACCUGAGAUCUUUCCCACCGAGCUCCUCUCUACAAGCUGCAGCCCUUCAGCCUUCAGUGCAGCAGGAGGCUGUGCAGGAUCAGAGGGGCUGAUUCCAGGCUGCUGCCUGCAGCAGGCAGGGCCUUGCUGUGAAGCAGUAAUAGCUCUAAUGUGAUACUCAUCACUCCCCUAUUCAAAUGUCUUUGGAUCCUAUUGCAAAUUCUUCAGCCAUUCCAGAUCCCUUUUCUUUCUUCUCUAAGAUUGCAUAGCAAUGUCACAUGCCCUGUGCUCUGAACCUAUUCCAGUUUAGUGUCUCUUCCCAUGCUUUUUGAACUGUCACUCAGUGAUGGAGCUUUGCACGGACAGCAAGCAUGGCUUUACUGAUGGUCCUUCACCAUAGAAGGAAUAAACUGAAAGAGUAUGAUUGAAAUUAUUUCCCAUUUCAAACAGGCUGGUAGUCUUCUACAGUGCCUACACUUUUCAUUUGUUCUUGCUUUAAUGUUAAUACAGGAAUAAAUUGCAAUGUAGACAUUAUGAAGGAGAGGUCCUUUAUGCACCUCCAGGGUUUUAAUCUUAAAAGCUUUGAGUUUUAAAACUGAGUAAGGUUCAGCAAUUCAGUAUUAAAAUGCCCAUUCAGAAUUAUUUGCUCUAUUUUCUAUGCUGCAUAUUUUCAAUCAGAUAAUACUGCUGCUAAACCUGGGUAUCACUUUAGUUGCUUCCAGGUGAGUAUAAACUUUUAUGAUCUGUUAAAAAAAUGUUGGCUCCUCAGCAAAUUACCUUAGAUGAGUAUCUUGAUCCCUUCAAGGGAUACAGAAACAGUUCUGGGUAAUGAUUGCUUAUUCUUACAAAAGGAGAAAGCAAACAGGUGUUGUGCACAGCUACCUUGUCACAGGUCUGAAGAUAGCUUUCAUAUGAUUUUCCUAAUGGCUAUAUAUAAAUUAAAGAUCAUCUGAAAUUGGAUGAAUGCUUUGGUUUUGUUGCAGGGCUUUUUGCUGCAGCUGUCUCUGCUGGUCUCAGUGGAGACAUCAUUGAGAAAAUGUGUCAUGAGCAGGAAGGAACUGAAGCAAUGACAAAGCCAUUCCUAUAUAAAAGAGAAGAAAGGAUAAUAAAAUUAAAUAUCUACUAAUCUCUUACAGGAUGCUCAGCAACACCACAGAGAAACUGUUGUCAGUUGUGCCCUGCUAUGAGACCAGAAGGGUUUGAGUCACGACUGUGUGAGGGGCACUUUGAAAUGAAAUCUCAGAGCUCUUCCCGAACUUCAAAACAAAUAAUCUCUCUGGUGACAUGUGAUGUCAUGCCUCCAAGGUACAGUGGUCCCAGGGGUGCUCAUUAAACGAUAGCCGGAUAGAUGGCAUUUCAUCCUGACAUGAUGUUUGAAUGCAGAAAAUGAGCUUUUAAAUUACUGCCAUGUCCCUCUGCAGCCUGUACUGCUGGUUCAGAACACAGGGGAUGUCCAGGUGCUUAAGCUGUUUUUUGUUCUGCUGAAGCUAUGGCUCUGUGGGCAAAGGACUUAUGUCUUGUAACUCCACUGAAUGCUUUCUCCCAGUGCCUGCUCUGAAUGUUACUAGGGCUGUGUCUCAUGUCUUCCUAUUUUUUCCUUUUUUAGCAUCUUUAAGAAUCUCCUCCCACACUUCCCAUGCAAACCUCAGUGAAAUGAGCUUUGCAACCCUGCAAAGCUUUGUGUUAGCAUCCUCUUUAACAAGCAAGGGAACUCAAAAAAGACCAGAGGACCCAGAGCCACUAUCAGAAUGGGUUUGAGGCUUCAAAGCAUAUAAGUCCUGGACAUUCAAAGCCCUGCCUGUGGUUUAACAGUAAGUCUUUCUCAGGCCAGGAAACAAUCUCUGGUCUUCUAAGGUUCCACUUUUCCCCUCUUACCUUCUUUGUUGUCUCUUUUUCUUGUGAUCCUAUUUGCUAGGAGUCCUUCCCUUAGCUUCCACUGACUGUGUAUCUCCCUCAGACACACAGCUGUAACAUCAUGCCUUUCAAACUGACUCUUGCUGCUUAUAACAACUUCUACCUCAAGAACAUUUUCUGAUUCAACCUGAAGUGAGCCUGGAAAGAUACCCUGUAAUGGCUGAAAGCCUUACACUGGUAUCCACAGACAGAAGAAUACAAAACCAUAGGUAACUAGAACAGCUUAUGAGCACUGCAUUGCUACUGCAUGCAUGUGACUAUGUAUGCAAGGUCUUUUAUAUUGUACUCCCACAUGCAAACUGAAGCCUAGGAGUGUUCACAGGCACUUCUGCCUUUGACGUUAUGUUAGCAAAUACAAGCAGCUGUGGGCACUUGUUGAAAUGUGACUCGCCCUUUUCUUGGUUUGCUUGCUCCCCCCCUCGAGUGGCAAGAGUCAUUGCUAGAGCUAAAACUAAUCUUAGUUCAGCCCACAGUAAUUAACACUACUUCAUCCUCUAGUCACAUUCAUUUCUCUUGAGGUAGUGAAAUAGCACAGCAACAAUCACAGUUUCAGAGAGGAAGUGAAAAAGGUGAUUGCCUGGUUUUGAAAUGAAAGGAGAAAUUUAGCCAGUGUGUAAUUACUCAAGUGAGAAUUUGGCCCUGUCUGUCUUUAAUACUCCAAAGUGGUGUUUGAUGUAAAUCCUUCCCUAGAAUUCAUUACAUUAGCUCUCAGCUCAACCUGAGCAUGCUGAGUGCCAAGUUCUGUGUGCAGCACAUUUUAUAUCCGAGUGGAAUGAUGUCAUCCUGGUGCUCCUGCAGCUCCCUAGCUCCUUGAGAAGCUUUGUGUUCAGCCUAAAGAUGAAAUGGAAUAUGUUUAAUGAGAUUUCCAUGGAAUUUGCUGCCUGGAAUGAGUGAGGAAUAUUGCAUUGCACCUCCAGCAAGACUUGUCCCUUUUUGCCCAAAAAAAAAAAAAAAAGGAGUUGUUAUAUUGCUUGUAAUAUUUUUCUUCACAGAAAAUGCAGUUUUUCCUUUACAGAUCCUGAAGUGCUUCACAGACCACAGAGCCCUUUCACGGGUGGUAAAGGAAGCUGCAGGAAAACACAGUGGCUUGUUGGUGUCACCCUGUGGGAAGUCCUGGCCUAGCCCUGGGGGCUGCCAGGCUGCUGCUGCUGAGGGCUCUGGGUUGAACCAUGCUGACUUUCAAACAGAGUGGGAAGAGAGAUGCAGAAAGCAGGUGCUUUCCUAACAGUUUGUCCCUGCCCCUUUACAGAGAUGCUGAUCAGAGCUCCUCAGAAGCCAGAAAUCCGUCCUCCCUCACCACUUUGUCCUGACCUCAGUAAGAAUUCCCAGGAGUGCCAUCAGCGUGUGCACACGGAGUCCCAGCGCCUGUCCCAGAGGUGGGCGGUGCCAGCUAUUUCAGACACUGUUUACGGGCCAGGCAGGUGUGAGCGGAAGGAAAGGCGAGGGACGAGUCAAGCGGGGGUUGCACAAGAUGGUGCCGUCUGGGAGAGGGGCUGCCAGAGCCAGCGCUGGAAAAAGCCCUCCCGCCGCCCGGCUGCGGUCAGGUAGGGGAGCGCUCGGUUACUUCUCGGGAAAACGCUGCCUCGCCUGAGCUGAGCUGGGCCCCGGGGGCCGCGCGGCUCCGUUUGCGGUUCCCGCGCCCUCCCGCCCCCGUCCUGCGCGACCGCAACCACGGCGGCUCCCGCCGAACCCCGGGCGCCUCCGGAGCCGCCACCGGCCCCGGGACGGGCGGCAGGAGGUUGCGGCCACCGCCCCGCCACGCGUGGGCAGCGGCUGGCGGGGCCGCGCCGGGACACGGCUCCCACCCGCGGCAGAACGCGAGCCGUGUCCCUGCGCCAGAGGCGGCGGUCCCAGCCCGUCCCGGGCCAUGACCAGGCCGGCGAGGGGAAGGCAGCGCCCGCCCGGCGCCCGCCUGUAAAGCGGUGUUUAUCCAAGCACGGCAGCAGCCCGCCCGGCAGGAAGCGGCCCCGGGCGCAGGAAAUGGCGGCGGCACGAGGCCCCGCCGCCGCCAUCUGCGUCUCCCCGGGCAGUCCCGGCCGCCGCUGCCGGGCGGGGAGGCCCCUCUGCCGCAGCCCGGGCCCGCUGCCUGGGGUUCCAUCAGGUCGUUGGAGACCCCGCUGCAGGCUGCUGCAGCGUUUCUGGUGCUGUGUUUCAGGUGCGUUGCCGCUGCAGAAAAGCACUUGUAUUCAGUUCCAGUGCGGGAUAAGCGGCCUUCGGGCAGAGUACGGCCCCUCACUCCGGUUUGCCGGGCAGCUUGCGGCCGCUGCGCUGCUUGUGUCAGAACGAAACAGCUUGAAACGCCCGUGGUUCCCUUUGUUCCCAGCUCCAGGACUGGGUGAGGAGGAGGGACGAUGGAUGUCCUGAUGGAUUAUGGUAAUCAGUUCGGGAACUGGAACUGUUUAGCUGUAGGUGGUUGGUGUGAACCUGGUUGGUAACCACUGUAGCCUUGUGAAGGCUUCGUGUGAUGCCCUCCAGUGGUAACAACGUGUACCGAUAUUGUAUCAAGAGGUAGAAGGAAAUUUGAAGAAGUGAUCCUUUUUGCCCAUUCUGGAGCGGUUUGAGGGUAACUCCUUGUAAGCUCAAGGGCCUUUGGGCAGCCCUGGCAAAGUCCCCAGUUAGCUGCUGGGUGAGGCGUGGUUGGGGGUAUCCCAUCCCUUGGCAGUUCCUGCUGCUGCAGCCUCUGCUGGGAUGCAGAGCUCACAGCUGUACAUCAGGGCAGCCUGUAGGGCUCGGGUGUCCAGUACCAGAGCUUUAGGCCUGAGCUCCUGUCCUUCGUAGAAGAUGAAUUUUGCUGUGUGCCAGUAAAUUUAUAUAGUGAAAAAGAACAGGAAGAAAAACGCCAAGAGGAAAAAUGCAUCUUGCAGCACAUAACUCACUGUUGGAGACAAGGAAAACUGUUUUUCAGUUGUCCUUUCACAUAAUCUCGUUCAGCAGUGAGCCAGAGUUCCUGUAGCCAGGCCAGAAAUGAGAACUGGCUUUGCCUAAUCUGAGACACCUUUCAGAGCGGAGAAGUAGCUCUCAGAUCAACUGCUCAACGUAGUUCUCCAAGAUGAGUUCUAUACCCAGGAUUCCAGAUAAGCCACUUGGUGGUGUCUGCUCUGGGGAACCAUGUGGGACCUGUUAGUACCUGUCAGCUUCAGUAGAAGCUCCUCUUUCACUGCCAGAUACAGCUUGCAGGUCUCUACAGGAUUUGACCCUUACAGUCUUAGAGAUGUACUGCACUUCUCCCUGUCUGAUGGGCUUACAGAGAAAGACAAGGUUGAUGUGAACUUCCAGUUUGUGUGCCAUACUGGACGGAUUGAUAAACCCUGUAGUAGAAGUGGUGGCCUCCUCAUGAAGGAUUUAUAUCAAGAUAUUUCUGCUGCUGCUUUAGCUGUCCUGUACCAUGACUGGUCAUGACCACAGAUGCUGCUCCAUACUCAGUUCUCCAACAGAUUCAUCAAGCUGGCAGUGUCAUGGUGGAGCUGUUUGGUACCUGCCGAGUCCCACUCCAAGAGUGUCAAGAGCAUCUCGCAUUUAGCUCGGAAAAUCUGUCCUUGCAGCAGUCCUGUGAGAGGGCUAUGAAGUCCCAGGGACUCCUAGGGAAGUUCUCCAGUUGAAAAAUAUUUUUGAUUGGGUUCGUGUAUCGUCUGAAGUGAACAGCUAAAACUGGCACCAGGAUACAGAUGUCUACUUGAAGAGUGUGGCUCUUCAUUUUUGGCAAAUAGCAGUGAAACGGUAUUCCCAGUGGGUGGAACUUGGACCAUGAAUCAAGGCAUACCAUUUUUAAGCAAAGAAAAAAAAAAACCAUAAAAGGUGUUAAAAAAACUUGGGUGGUGCUGUCUCACCACUUCAUUCCUCAGCAGAAGACCUGUACUUUAGCUGCUGUUCCAAUGUCAGCAGGGCCCACCUGGCCACCUCCUGCCCUCUGCACUGUCAGGGGUUGCUGGCUGAGUCACCUGUUCUGAGGUUGUUGUGCUCACUGCAAGACACAGCAACGGAAAGUCUCUGGCCUGGCUUACAGGACAUGUGACAAAGUGACUGUAGCAACUCUUUCUGCCCCUGAAAUCUCUGAAGUCCUCAUUGUAGAGAUGACACUGUUCUUGAAUAGCUCAGUGUUGCUAAAUCCAUCUUCUUUGGAGGGUUGCAAAACAAACAGAUACCGAAGAGAAUACGGUUCUAAUUACUGUCAUAAUGACACACUCGGCUUCUGGUUUCAUGGUUUCUGCAGAGUCUUGUUUUGGGUAGCCUUUUUUUAAGCUAUUUGUGGAAGUACAGAUGAGCUUUUGGCAGAUGGUUCUGUGUCAGAUCUCUGCCAGGCUCUGUUAAUUUGUUGAGAUCUUAUAGAGGCCACUGUGUUCUUGACUGUCCCCUAAAAUGGAAGUGUGAACCAAUGAUUUUUGUAAUGAACGUGCAAUAAAUCUGUGGAAAAGCA